AUUAGGGCUGAACUGGAGAAACAUGGAUACAAAGUUGAUCAACCAGAAUCAAUGAAAACAUAAUCAUUGGAAUGAGACACUAAAGACAUCAUAGUUGUAUAGCAGUUCUUUCUUAUAAAUUAUGAUUUUCAGUUGUGUUGUUGUAUUAUUUUGUUUACAGUGUAGACUAUAUAUACAUGCAUGUUUGGUCAGCUAUGCAACAUGUGACCUCAUGUCAUUUUAUGAAACAACAUCAUGAAAACAACGUUUAUUAGUUGCAUUUCAUGAUCCUUCUGCCAGGUAACUUAUUAAAAGCCUGCCUGUAUUUUUAAUUUUUUUUGCAGGUAGCCAAAAAAAAUUUCAGUUAGCCCUGCGUAGUCCAAACUUGCUCGCUUCGCUUGAAGCUUGCAAAUUGCAACAUGGGACCGGGCACCGAAGAAAUUUUUUUGAGUUAUGUUUCAUAUUGUCAAAAUUGAGUGUCCGCUAAUUUGCU
rnacentral:lncRNA from 1 species